rnacentral:misc_RNA from 1 species
GAUGAAGAACGCAGCGAAAUGCGAUAAGUAAUGUGAAUUGCAGAAUUCAGUGAAUCAUCGAGUCUUUGAACGCACAUUGCGCCCCCUGGUAUUCCGGGGGGCAUGCCUGUCCGAGCGUCAUUGCUGCCCUCAAGCACGGCUUGUGUGUUGGGCCCCGCCCCCCGGCUCCCGGGGGGCGGGCCCGAAAGGCAGCGGCGGCACCGCGUCCGGUCCUCGAGCGUAUGGGGCUUCGUCACCCGCUCCGUAGGCCCGGCCGGCGCCCGCCGGCGACCCCCCUCAAUCUUUUCAGGUUGACCUCGGAUCAGGUAGGGAUAACCGCUGAACUUAAGCAUAUCAAUAAGCGGAGGA